GACGAACGCUGGCGGCGUGGAUUAGGCAUGCAAGUCGAACGGUAUCAUCCUUUCGGGGGUGAGAGAGUGGCGAACUGGUGAGUAACACGUAGGUUAUCUACCCUCAAGACGGGGACAACCCAGGGAAACUUGGGCUAAUACCGGAUGUGAGCAACUUUUAGUUGUUUGAAAGGUGGCGUAAGCUGUCGCUUGGGGAUGAGCCUGCGUCCUAUUAGUUAGUUGGUGAGGUAACGGCUCACCUAGGCAAUGAUAGGUAGGCGGCCUUAACGGGUGGUCGCCCACACUGGGAUUGAGAUACGGCCCAGACUCCUACGGGAGGCAGCAGUCGAGAAUAGUCUACAAUGGUCGGAAGACUGAUAGUGCGACGCCGCGUGAACGAUGAAUCCCUUCGGGGUGUAAAGUUCUUUUAUAUGUGAGCAGUGCUUUCUAUGUGAACAGCAUGGGGAGAGAGAUAUUAGCAUAUGAAUAAGCAACGGCUAACUCCGUGCCAGCAGCCGC
rnacentral:rRNA from 1 species